CUGCAACCUGAAUGCACUCGAUCUCAUUACAUUUUGCAAGCUAAGCGGGCCUGAGCCUGGUUAGUACUUGGAUUGGAGACUGCUGAGAAUGCCAGCGAGU
rnacentral:rRNA from 1 species